GACGAACGCUGGCGGCGUGCUUAACACAUGCAAGUCGAACGGAAAGGCCCUGCUUUUGUGGGGUGCUCGAGUGGCGAACGGGUGAGUAACACGUGAGUAACCUGCCCUUGACUUUGGGAUAACUUCAGGAAACUGGGGCUAAUACCGGAUAGGAGCUCCUGCUGCAUGGGGGGGGAUGGAAAGUUUCGGCGGUUGGGGAUGGACUCGCGGCUUAUCAGCUUGUUGGUGGGGUAGUGGCUUACCAAGGCUUUGACGGGUAGCCGGCCUGAGAGGGUGACCGGCCACAUUGGGACUGAGAUACGGCCCAGACUCCUACGGGAGGCAGCAGUGGGGAAUAUUGCACAAUGGGCGGAAGCCUGAUGCAGCAACGCCGCGUGCGGGAUGACGGCCUUCGGGUUGUAAACCGCUUUCGCCUGUGACGAAGCGUGAGUGACGGUAAUGAGUAAAGAAGCACCGGCUAACUACGUG
rnacentral:rRNA from 1 species